UGGGACCUUGUCUGCAAUUGACCAAUACAGUAAUCUUAAUCUUUUAAAGGACAUGUUGCACAAAAAAGUUGCCAAUAUAAAUACAAUAUACACCACUUGUAGAAAAAGAAAAAGAAAAAAUGUAUAUUGUCUUUCUCCCGGGAUGCAAAACUAAAUAAUUUGUGAAUGCAUGACGCAGCCUGUGAUUUUGCCUGUGACGUUUGUUCAGGUGAAGAUUCUGGAGCUGACUGGGGACAACAUCUAGUGAAGAAGAUGGUUCUACAAACAAGCUACUGCAAGCUGUGACAGAUGGUGACACAUCUUCAAGCUUCCUGACUGAAUACUGGGGCCUUCAGUGGUUCCAGAAGCAAGGGCCUUACCUGGGAGUACAGCGACAGUCUCUCUGUCUCGCAAGCACCCCCUUAUCACUUUGUCCCAUUCUUUAAUCUUGUCUGGGACAUAUAUUUUAGUUGAGACACCUGUAUGAUAUACAUGAAUAAACAUGUGUUAUUACUCUGGA